rnacentral:rRNA from 1 species
ACGCUGGCGGCAGGCUUAACACAUGCAGUCGAACGGUAGCAGGAGAAAGCUUGCUUUCUUGCUGACGAGUGGCGGACGGGUGAGUAAUGCUUGGGAAUCUGGCUUAUGGAGGGGGAUAACUACGGGAAACUGUAGCUAAUACCGCGUAGAAUCGGAAGAUGAAAGUGCGGGACCGCAAGGCCGCAUGCCAUGAGAUGAGCCCAAGUGGGAUUAGGUAGUUGGUGGGGUAAAGGCCUACCAAGCCUGCGAUCUCUAGCUGGUCUGAGAGGAUGGCCAGCCACACUGGAACUGAGACACGGUCCAGACUCCUACGGGAGGCAGCAGUGGGGAGUAUUGCGCAAUGGGGGGAACCCUGACGCAGCCAUGCCGCGUGAAUGAAGAAGGCCUUCGGGUUGUAAAGUUCUUUCGGUAUUGAGGAAGGUUGAUGUGUUAAUAGUACAUCAAAUUGACGUUAAAUACAGAAGAAGCACCGGCUAACUCCGUGCCAGCAGCCGCGGUAAUACGGAGGGUGCGAGCGUUAAUCGGAAUAACUGGGCGUAAAGGGCACGCAGGCGGUUAUUUAAGUGAGGUGUGAAAGCCCCGGGCUUAACCUGGGAAUUGCAUUUCAGACUGGGUAACUAGAGUACUUUAGGGAGGGGUAGAAUUCCACGUGUAGCGGUGAAAUGCGUAGAGAUGUGGAGGAAUACCGAAGGCGAAGGCAGCCCCUUGGGAAUGUACUGACGCUCAUGUGCGAAAGCGUGGGGAGCAAACAGGAUUAGAUACCCUGGUAGUCCACGCUGUAAACGCUGUCGAUUUGGGGAUUGGGCUUUAAGCUUGGUGCCCGUAGCUAACGUGAUAAAUCGACCGCCUGGGGAGUACGGCCGCAAGGUUAAAACUCAAAUGAAUUGACGGGGGCCCGCACAA